ACCUCGUGGUUGGGACAUUGCAUAAGUUUCCCAUUAAAUAUCUCUCAUGCUUCAUAUAGAGGUUCUCUAUUUAAUUAAUGAAAUUAGUAAUUUUGUUAUGCAAUU
rfam:Capsicum annuum cultivar Zunla-1 chromosome 5, whole genome shotgun sequence